rnacentral:rRNA from 1 species
AUUGAACGCUGGCGGCAGGCUUAACACAUGCAAGUCGAACGAGUGGCGGACGGGUGAGUAAUGUCUGGGAAUCUGGCUUAUGGAGGGGGCUAACUACGGGAAACUGUCGCUAAUACCGCGUACCAUCGGAUGUGCCCAGAUGGGAUUAGGUAGUAGGUGGGGUAAUGGCUCACCUAGCCGACGAUCUCUAGCUGGUCUGAGAGGAUGACCAUCCACACCGGGACUGAGACACGGUCCGGACUCCUACGGGAGGCAGCAGUGGGGAAUAUUGCGCAAUGGGGGCAAGCCUGACGCAGCCAUGCCGCGUGUAUGAAGAAGGCCUUCGGGUUGUAAAGUUCUUUCAGUGAGGAGGCGUUACUCGCAGAAGAAGCACCGGCUAACUCCGUGCCAGCAGCCGCGGUAAUUC